rnacentral:rRNA from 1 species
AACGAACGCUGGCGGCAUGCCUAACACAUGCAAGUCGAACGAGACCUUCGGGUCUAGUGGCGCACGGGUGCGUAACGCGUGGGAACCUGCCCUUAGGUUCGGAAUAACUCCCCGAAAGGGGUGCUAAUACCGGAUAAUGUCUUCGGACCAAAGAUUUAUCGCCUUUGGAUGGGCCCGCGUUGGAUUAGCUAGUUGGUAGGGUAAAAGCCUACCAAGGCGACGAUCCAUAGCUGGUCUGAGAGGAUGAUCAGCCACACUGGGACUGAGACACGGCCCAGACUACUACGGGAGGCAGCAAUGGGGAAUAUUGGACAAUGGGCGAAAGCCUGAUCCAGCAAUGCCGCGUGAGUGAUGAAGGCCUUAGGGUUGUAAAGCUCUUUUACCCGGGAUGAUAAUGACAGUACCGGGAGAAUAAGCUCCGGCUAACUCCGUG